UACGUAGGGUGCGAGCGUUAAUCGGAAUUACUGGGCGUAAAGCGUGCGCAGGCGGUUGUGCAAGACAGAUGUGAAAUCCCCGGGCUCAACCUGGGAAUUGCAUUUGUGACUGCACGGCUAGAGUGUGUCAGAGGGGGGGUAGAAUUCCACGUGUAGCAGUGAAAUGCGUAGAGAUGUGGAGGAAUACCGAUGGCGAAGGCAGCCCCCUGGGAUAACACUGACGCUCAUGCACGAAAGCGUGGGGAGCAAACAGG
rnacentral:rRNA from 1 species